AAGACUUUAAGUUAAAAUAAACUAAAAACCUUCAAAGUUUUAAAUGAAUUUUGUUCAAGUCUUG
rnacentral:tRNA from 1 species